AGCGAACGCUGGCGGCAGGCUUAACACAUGCAAGUCGAGCGGGCAUAGCAAUAUGUCAGCGGCAGACGGGUGAGUAACGCGUGGGAACGUACCUUUUGGUUCGGAACAACUGAGGGAAACUUCAGCUAAUACCUGAUAAGCCCUUACGGGGAAAGACUUAUCGCCGAAAGAUCGGCCCGCGUCUGAUUAGCUAGUUGGUGAUGUAAUGGCUCACCAAGGCGACGAUCAGUAGCUGGACUGCGAGGAUGAUGAGCCACAUUAGGACUGAGACACGACCCAAACUCCGACGGGAGGCGGCAGUGGGGAAGAUUGGACAAUGGGCGCAAGCCUGAGCCAGCCAUGCCGCGUGAGUGAUGAAGGCCCUAGGGUUGUAAAGCUCUUUUGUGCGGGAAGAUAAUGACGGUACCGCAAGAAUAAGCCCCGGCUAACUUCGUGCCAGCAGCCGCAGUAA
rnacentral:rRNA from 1 species